rnacentral:rRNA from 1 species
UACGGAGGGUGCAAGCGUUAUCCGGAUUUACUGGGCUUAAAGGGUGCGUAGGUGGGUAAGUAAGUCAGUGGUGAAAUCUUCGAGCUUAACUCGGAAACUGCCAUUGAUACUAUUUAUCUUGAAUACUGUGGAGGUAAGCGGAAUAUGUCAUGUAGCGGUGAAAUGCGUAGAUAUGACAUAGAACACCAAUGGCGAAGGCAGCUUACUAGACAGUUAUUGACACUGAGGCACGAAAGCGUGGGGAGCAAACAGG